rnacentral:sRNA from 1 species
AAUCAUCGAAGCGACGCACUCCUCCUCCCAGUGUCGCUUUGUUGGGAUCGGCAAUACUCCUCCUCCUCCCAAUUGCCGAUCAAGUUCAAGAGCUCGACGCAUCCUCCUCCCGCGUCGAGCUCUUUUC